GAUUCUCCAAAUGACAAACCCAGGGAAAUCGCUAAAAGCAUUUUGCGUGACUUUGGGAUUAAAUUGAGAUACUCACAAGUAUGGCGAGGAAUGGAAGAUGCCAAGGAGCAGCUUCAAGGUUCAUACUCAAAGUCAUAUAACAGGCUGUCUUGGUUCUGCGAAAAGGUAGUAAAUACUAAUCCUGGAACUGUUGUUAAGCUUGUGCUAGACGAUGAAAAAAGACUUCAGCGCUUCUUUUUUUCACUUCAUGCCUCCAUUCAUGGUUUCAAGCACGGUUGCCGACCCCUUAUUUUCCUUGAAGCCACAUCUCUAAGAUCAAAGUACAAGGAGACUUUAAUAACAGCAACUGCGGUUGAUGCAGAUGAUUGUUUCUUUCCUGUUGCUUUUGCAGUAAUAGAUAUUGAAAAUGAUGAUAGUUGGCGUUGGUUUUUGGAGCAACUAAAAUCCGCG
rnacentral:misc_RNA from 1 species